CUUUUAUGAGACAGCUUCUAGACAGAAAGGAGCAGGAGGACCUCGGUGUACAUCUGCCAGGGCUGGGGAAUCCAGGCCUUGGGCAGGCGAGAGCAAACUCAAGAUAUGUAGACGCAGCUUCAGGCACCCACGCUGUCCCAGAGGACGUGAAUCCUGGUGGGGAGAUGGUCCCUAUGGAGAUCUUCUGGAUGGGAAGCAGUGAAAGAUAAGCUAUUACCUGCCCACAAGGUUAACUUCUCACAUUUAUCUCAAACACAGGUUGAGCUGCCCACAGUGCUUUCCAAAUGCCUCCUAAACAUCCUCCUCUUGGGACACACAGCACACUGGAUCGGGAGGUCCUCAAGACCAGGAACUGGACCCGUAAUAUCUCCGAGAAAGCAUGAUAUCUGGGCUGAAAACGGCAGAUCCAACAAUUUUAAAAGAGUUUAUGCCCACGAUAUCCUAAGGCAAUGAGAAAUUUAUGUCAAGGAGAUUCGCACAACUGUAACCAUGAUCGGAAAUCUUCAAGGAAUCCUGGAGAACGAAAGAAAUCCCCCCCUUGCCCCGCCAACAGGAAAUUAGCAUAUUUGUUUGCCACUUUCAGAAAUAAAAAUUUUCCUUUGGUGAAUCUAGAAAACGCUA